AGCGAACGCUGGCGGCAGGCCUAACACAUGCAAGUCGAACGAACCUUUCGGGGUUAGUGGCGGACGGGUGCGUAACACGUGGGAACGUGCCUUUAGGUUCGGAAUAACUCAGGGAAACUUGUGCUAAUACCGAAUGUGCCCUCCGGGGGAAAGAUUAAUCGCCUUUAGAGCGGCCCGCGUCUGAUUAGCUAGUUGGUUGAGGUAAUGGCUCACCAAGGCGACGAUCAGUAGCUGGUCUGAGAGGAUGAUCAGCCACAUUGGGACUGAGACACGGCCCAAACUCCUACGGGAGGCAGCAGUGGGGAAUCUUGCGCAAUGGGCGAAAGCCUGACGCAGCCAUGCCGCGUGAAUGAUGAAGGUCUUAGGAUUGUAAAAUUCUUUCACCGGGGACGAUAAUGACGGUACCCGGAGAAGAAGCCCCGGCUAACUUCGUG
rnacentral:rRNA from 1 species